ACAAGACAAAGAGGUUUAUAUCCUCUGGAGAAGAAAGAGAGAAAGGGAUUGGGCAGGCGAAGAGAGAAAGGGAUUGGCCCCAAGUCCCCAUCCCCCGAUUCCUCUCCCUCUACCUUUCCCUCGUUGCCGCCGCCGCCACCGACGACCUCCCUGCAGCCGCCGCCAUCAGUCACGCCCUCCCCAAUGGCUGACUCUUCCACCCCUUUUCUCCUCCCCUUAACUUCUCCUCACCAUCGGCGACCUGUCCUCCCCCUCGCACCAGAUCGAGCAGCAGCUCGGGCAGGGCAGAGCGGACGCCACCACCACCACUCAACGCCGGCCUCCCCCACAGCCGCCGCCACCACCCGCGCCCUCCACCACAUCUGGCGCACCCACCCCUUCCAUCCUCUCCUCACCUUCUCCCCACCAACGACGACCUCCUCCCCUCUUCCUCGUCACAGAUCGACCAGCGGGUCCGGAUCUGAUGCAGGCUCAGAUCCGGCACACCCGCAGCGCUUGUUCCACUUGAGGACGUCAUGGACAUGGUGCUCUAGCACUGGUGCUGCAGUCAUGGACAAGGAGAUUAUCACUUUCUACCUCUCUGUGUUGAAUUAAGUUGGUGUUGCUGCAACCUCAACGCCCAAAUAAUCAGCCCUAACCCUAGCCCUUCCUUGGGCAUGGAAACCAAGCAGACGGGAGGUGCAUCACAGGUUGCUACCAUCUAAUGUGUGGAGAGAGCCGAGGAGAAUAUGCUCCGUUACCAUCUUGUGAAGGAGGAUGUUCACCAUCCAAGGUGCUCAACAUCACCAUCAUCUCUCGCUUGCCAAGGGCCAAUGCACAGCGGCCCAAGCUGUUCAUUGGAAUGAUCCUCAUCAUUAUCCUUACCGAAGCUCUUUGCCCUGUACGACCUCAUCGUCGGCAUCAUCUUCUCUUCUACGGUUCUACCUUGUGUCCAUUACUAUCUGGAGCAUUUGUUUUUUAGGAUAAAAUACAAGACCAAACAAGCCAGCCCAAUUGUCGGGAUGCUGGAUAUAGUGGUUGGAGUGUUGCAGCGGCGUCGUGGCAGCGGAUGGUAGCGAGGUAUUUGGUGCCCCGUUCUACUGCACCACCGUUUCCGAGUGGUCUUAUUGAUGGCAGUAAAGAAAUCAGCGGGGAUAGUAGGUUGUCUUCCUUGUCAACUACAUAUGUCGUCUUUGUUGUUGAUGUUGCUACUUCCCUCAGUUGCGAGGUGAGUCUUAAUUGCAGGUUUAUUUACUUAAUUUAUCCUUUUGUGCUGACAUGGGACUUGGGUGGCUGCUUAACACAACGAUCAAGCACAUAUAGAGUUGUUCUGAUUCGUGCAAUGCUGCGUAGAACCACAAAAAAGAGGGUGACAGAUCAUGUGCAAAGUUAAUCCAACAUCCUUCAGAGCUCAUUAAUGGAGCUUGCACUCUCUUUUCCAUGUUAAAGUUUGGAACAUGGAAAAUGUUCACAGGCUUGAUAUGUGCUUCCGUCCUUCUGUAAUGUAGAUUUAAAAUAUAUAAGGUUUUCUGAUUGUCAUUUAUUUCCUAUUUUUGAUUCAUGGAUGACAGUAAUCUACCUACAACACUCGAAUGGUUUCAAGAAAUUGGUGAAAACAAGUGAUGUGUUUUCAAUCUUUGAUGUGUGAAGAUGUGCAUUGUGUGUGGAUGUAAGGAGAAAUGGAAGGAUUUAUGGCAACAUGCAACAAUUUUGUUGCUUACUUGUACAUACUAUUUUUUAUUUACUGAUAUUCGUCGCAAUAUACCUAUGUAUCACACAUACUACGAGGAGACAAAGUCUUAAUUAAUAAUUGGAACCUGUAACUCAUAUAUGUCCUUUGUUAAGGAUGCAUUUUUUGUUUUAUAGGUCAGACUGAAUUAUAUGUUCCUGUCCAAGCCCUGUUCACUGGCAUUGCCUCUUGAUUCCCUUCUCAGAACAGAAGAUCCACGCUAAACAUAACAAGUUCAUUAGAGGAGCAAAUGUUGUUUAUCACCGCAUCUCUUCACAUGUUGACAAGCCCGAUAUUUAUGAAGGCACUAUACAAGGCGCUGGCGCCAUACCUGCUCGGUAUGGACAGGAGAAGAUGCAGGGGCUCCGCUUCUUGGCCUCGGUGACGUCCUCGUGCCCCUCCACCGCUGGUGUUGUUGCUCGGGCGGCACUACCGGUCUACUAUGGCAGGCCUGCUUGUUGCUCAGGUUUAAAGAAGAAUCAAGGAUCAGUUCAAUGGUAAUUGGACUGCUGAUGACACUUGUUUGAACACAUGUGAUCCUCAUAAUAGAGUUGCCGUGAGUACCUUGCAGCCUCGCUACUUCGUUUUGUCCUGUUUGAUGGAAUACUACUACGUUGUGUGCCCCUUUCGAUUUUGGCAUGACGAUUAGAGCAGAUAGCGUUUCUGCUGAGCAUGGCAUGUUUGUUUGUCUCAGGUUGUAAAUUUUCUUAUAAUUUUGUAAUUUUAGACCUUCCUCUUAUUAAAAGUAUCUUAGACCUUCCUGUAAAUAGAGAGGCAAAUUUUUCUUAUUAAAAAUAUUUGCAUUUAAGUUUGAAAUAUUUAUGUUGCAUCAGCUCACACUAUUAUUAUUUUUUGUAUAACAUGACCCUCUGAUUCAGUUAUUGGGGUUCAUUAC